GUUUGGUUCCAGGUGCCAAGAACACAAGGUCCCUGAGUACACACACUCAUGUUCAGGCAAAGAGGAAAAUGAACAAGAGUCAAGAUAACUCCAGAACUGCAAGCGCUUAGGAAGACCCCAUAGGAGGUCUCGAUACCCCACGGACACUGCAGGAACCAACUUUGUCCUUCAUGAGCCUCUCCUAUUACCCCGGGAAUGAACACUGCACAUCAGGGCUUCCGGAGGAAGCAGCAUGCAAGUUUUUAACUGAAAAUUGAUCAGUGAUGUUUACGGUGUUGGGCUUCCCUCACCCACACAAGCAAAGCCAGAUCCCCAGCCCUGCAGUAUCAGAGACCAGGUUCCUGAGCAAAGCUGGCUUCUAGAAGGUUCUCUCCUUCCAGUCCAUCCCAUGAACUUCUUUUCCACCCAGGAAGUCAGGGCAUGGCUCUUCCUGAUUCUGUUGAAAUGUUUCAGAAACAAAGUCUUUCAGACCCCAGGCAAGGGUCUCACUGGCCCACAGAGAAUCCUCUCUGCUGUCCUCAAACCUUCCCAGCACAAGAUGGGGGCGGAGGGAAGCAACUUCAGAACCAUGGUCACGACCCCAACCGUGAACUUGGCCAUGAACCCAGGCUGAGCUGUGGGGGAUCAGAGCAUGCCACAGCUCUAUCAUCUCUGUUCCAAGCCUCUUCCCCACAGCCAGAACUUUUGGGUCCCCAUUCCCUGGAUCUACUCCUUACAGAAAAUGACAGACAGGAGGUGACCCACACCCUGAGUGUCACUUACCUGAAAUUCUCAGGAUCAGAAGUGUUUGGGAUUUUAGAAUUUUUCAGUUUUGGGAAUAUUUGUGCAGACAGAGUGAGCUCUCUUAGGGAUGGGUCCCAAGACUAAAACACAAAAGGUAUCAUUGUCCCAUAUAACCUCACGCAGGAAGCUGUUUUAUGUAAUAUUUAAUUCAUGAUUUUAUGCAUUAAGUUUCAUGAUAUGACAGGUUUUGGAUUUUAGACCACUUGGAAUUUCGGAUUGAAAGUAACUAGGAAAAAAAGGAAAACAAAUAAAAAGGAAAUAUGACUAGCUGGUAUCUCGACCAUACCAAAAGGCUUGCUGCUGGCCUCUCAGAUUUGUUUCCAGGUAGGGGAAACUGUAUUAUUCCCAGCCCACAAAAAAAUAAAUCAGAAGUGUGGGGUGGACUGAUAAGGCUGCUCAUCACACUGUAGCCAGUAGCAAGGAGGGGCUGGAGGCAGGCUGGUGUCUCCCUUGCUGCAAGUAUCUGCAUCAGACCCUCCUCCACACUAGGGAGCUGACAGGGGAGAAAGCCAGAUGUGUUGUGAACAGACUUUGAAAAGCCAAACACGGGUAAAGAAGAUGGGGGAGCCAGGCGGCUCUUCUGAUCAUCCGCCAACCCCGGGAACCACCAGAGUCAAACGCUGCCUUUUGACGGUUUUUGUUGCUUGUUCCUUUGUUUUCAUCAUGGGGCUGUGAAUAUCACCCAGGACCUUUCCUGUGAUGGGCGAGCACUCGUCCACCCAGCUACAUCCCCGGCCCUCUUCCUCUUGAAUCACAUCUUUAGUCUUUAGUUUAUUUCUCCCUCCCAGCCGC